CUUUCCGACUCUUCCCAGCACCUUCCUCUCCCAUUGUCCCUUCUGCUUUCCUAUCUUAACACCCUUUCUUUGUCCUUUCUCCUGGCCCUGACCUCUUCUUCCUCUCUUGUAAGUCCUUCUUAUACUUCCAUGCUACGUAUAAUAUAUAUUUCACGUAUGUAUAUAUAAUGCCUAUUUUAAUUUUCAGACUAUUUUCAUUUACUCUUCGGCAAGUUCACACUCUAUUCAGUGUGUCCUGGCCGCCCACUCUCGGUUUCAUCUCACUUCCCCCAGACACCCCUCGACAAGUCUCUCUCUCAACUUAGUGGUCUUUUGUUUGCUCGUUCGUGUGCUCGGUUUUGGUUAUUUGCAAUCCGCUUAGUUCGAUGACCGCUGCCUGUUAGGAUGCUGACCUGUCUCUCCGAUGGCCUUGAACUCGUGCAGCGAUCGAAGCUGCUGAGGCUUCCUAAGUACACAGCCGAGGAACGUGCAGAAGACAGCGUCUCGCAGCUCUCCUUCCCGCCCUCCGGCUCUUUCAAUCUCUCUGCUCCUCGUCCACCAUGUUCCCUGAGUUUGGAGUUUGGCCCCCAGGUUGGAUACCCAGCUCAGGAAUGCUCAGGAACAGAGGAGGAAUCCUUUCCGGAUCUGUGGAUAAUGGAGGCAACACACAUCAAAACGCCUUGAACGUCAGCGAUUCAGCUUCAGUGUCUGUGAGCGAGCAUUGAAGGCAGUCAGAUGCACAGGCUCUUUCCUUGUUCCUCAGGGGUUCUUAAACUGUAGGCCGAGAUCCUUUGGGGGUUGAAUGACCCUUUCUCAGGGUGGCAUACCAGAUAUCCUGCCUGUCAGAUUAUUUGUAUUAUGAGAUUCAUUAUAGUAACAAAAUCACAGUUAUGAAGUAGCAACGAAAAUAAUUUUAUGUUUGGGAGUCACCACACGAGGAGUUGUGUUAAACGGGUCGCAGAAUUAGGAAGGUCGAGAUGGGGCUGGGGAUUUAGCUCAGUGGUAGAGUGCUUACCUAGGAAGCGCAAGGCCCUGGGUUCGGUCCCCAGCUCCGGGGGAAAAAAAAGAACCAAAAAAAAAAAAAAAAAAAAAAAAAAAAAAAGGAAGGUCUUUCAAUACAAGAUGUAAAAACCCCUGGAGGAGCAGGCUUGACUCACAUGACACGAUGACCGUGCCCCAGGAAUACUUGAAAGCUGCGGGAUGAAGGAGAACCUGGAUUUGCCUCUUGGUCCCGCAAGAAGACACAGACACCUUGAAUUUCUGACUCUAGCAGUGGGUGGGGUUUGUCGGAACACCAUCCAAGAAGGGAGUCAGUCCUGUGAGGUGUCUGAGGGCUUGUGAGAAAACUCCAAGAAGUCAAGAGUCUCAUGACCUCCAUUUCUUAACAGAAUUGUUCUUGGAUUAUGCUUUCACACCCCUCCCAGGUGUGUUGAAAGGAGUGAUUUAAUUCUGAUUAUUUAUUUAUAUGCCUUCAUGGGAAACCAUGGGUUUGCUGCAUGCGGCUUGUCUGCCUUGCCUUUGCAAUUGUACACUUCACUCGUGUGACUCUUCUUAACCCUCAGAGUAUAAACUGUCUGAUGCUCUGAAUAAAGCUGGCUGUUGCAUGAGACUUUAG